rnacentral:rRNA from 1 species
GACGUAGGGGGCAAGCGUUGUUCGGAAUUAUUGGGCGUAAAGCGCUCGUAGGCGGGACAGGAAGUUCGUGUUGAAAGACCUCGGCUCAACUGAGGGACCGGCUCGAAUACUCUUGUUCUUGAGGCAAUCAGAGGGUGAUGGAAUUCCCGGUGUAGCGGUGAAAUGCGUAGAGAUGUGGAGGAACACCAGUGGCGAAGGCGAUCAUCUGGGGCUGUUCUGACGCUGAGGAGCGAAAGCUAGGGGAGCAAACGGG